rnacentral:rRNA from 1 species
UAAGACGGAGGGCGCAAGCGUUAUUCGGAAUUACUGGGCGUAAAGCGCGGGCAGGUCGUCCGUUAAGUCGGUUGUGAAAAUCCGGGGCUCAACCCCGUGAAAUGCAAACGAUACUGGCGGACUAGAGAUUGGUAGAGGCUAGCGGAAUUCCAGGUGUAGCGGUGGAAUGCGUAGAUAUCUGGAAGAACACCAGUGGCGAAGGCGGCUAGCUGGGCCAAGUCUGACACUCAUCCGCGAAAGCGUGGGGAGCAAACAGGAUUAGAUACCCUGGUAGUCCACGCCGUAAACGAUGGGCACUAGGUGCCGGGCCUCUAGACGGGUUCGGUGCCGACGCUAACGCAUUAAGUGCCCCGCCUGGGGAGUACGGUCGCAAGGCUG